UACGUAGGGUGCAGGCGUUAAUCGGAAUUAUUGGGCGUAAAGGGUGCGUAGGUGGUUUAAUAAGUUACUGGUGGCAAAUCGGGGCCCAACCCCGUGGAAGUCAGUAAUACUAUCGAACUAGAGGGUCGGAGAGGUUAACGGAACUCCAUGUGUAGCGGUAAAAUGCUCAAAUAUAUGGAUGAACACCAAUCGGCGAAGGCAGUUAACUAUUCGAUUCCUGACGUUGAGGCACGAAAGCGUGGGGAGCAAGACGG
rnacentral:rRNA from 1 species